AACGUAUUUCGUUCAUAUCCAUAAGUACGAUUGCAGUUAAUUUAGUAGGUACAUAUAUGUCACACGUCGGCAGCGGCACACAAAAUGAUUAUGGUUUUCUUAAUGGCUCUAUUGGCGCUCGGCCCCACCAACGGCAGACCGAAAGGCAAAUGCACCUGCAACUGGUUCACGUGCAACCAGCCGGUGUGCGCCAGCAACCACGAGACCUUCGAGUGCAUGUGUCAGCUGAACUGUCGGAACUCGGAACAUCAGGGCCAGCUGUAUAAACUGUACGACGGGGAGUGCUAUGCCGACAUUGCGCUGGUUUAGAGUAAAAUGGACCGAAGGUCACAAAGUGUGGAAAUUCUAUACAGACCCUUAACUUUGCUUAACUUAACUACGCCUUACUGCAUUCGUAAUAAAAAAUAUUUGUUUAAACUUGAA